CAUGCAUGGUGAUAUAAAUAGC
rnacentral:miRNA from 1 species